AGUGUGCAUGUGUGUGUGCACAUGUGAGGUGGAUGGGGGAGCAGAGGGAGAGAGAGUCUUAAACAGGCUCCAUGCCCAGCACCCAGCAAGGAGCCCAAUGCAACGCAGGGCUCCAACUCAUGACCCUGAGAUCAUAAUUUCAGUCAGAAUCAAGAGUCAGAUGCUUAACGGCUUAACCAGCUGAGCACCCAGAUGCCCCUGGUGUCUUUUUUUUUUUUAAUUUUUUUAAUGUUUAUUUAAUUUUGAGAGAGAGAGAGAGAGAGAGAGAGAGCGAGCGAGCGCAGGGGAGAGGCAGAGAGAGAAGGAAACAGAAUCCGAAGCACAGCUUCAGCAUCCGAAUCUGAGCUGCCAGCACAGAGCCCAACGUGGGGCUUGAAUGCACAAACCGUGCUUUCAUGACCUGAGCUGAAGUCAGACGCUUAUCCAACUGAGACACCCAGCCGCCCGUGGUGUCUUUUGAUUAAUAGAAAUUCUUGAUUUUAAUUUAGCAGUCCAAUUUAUCGAUCCAUUUUUCUUUUAUGGUUAGUACUGUUUUGUGUCCUGUUUAAGAAAUCUUUGUUUACCCCAAGGCCAUAAAUAUAUUAUCCUAUUUUAUCUUCUGUCUCGUUUUACCUUUUAUUUUUAAAUCAACAAUCCAUAUAGAAUUGAUUUAUUUGUUAAUGAGGUAUGAGGUAAGGAUCAUGGUUUAUUAUUUCUCAUAUGGCUAUCUAGUUGACCCCAGCCCAUCUUUUCCUCACUACUUCGUGCUAUCUUCUUCAUCAUGAGUCAAAUGACCAUAUGUAUGGAUUUGUUUCUAGACUCUAUCAUUGUACCAGUGUCAUACUGUUUUAAUUACUGUAGCUUUAGGGGCGCCUGGGUGGCUGUCAGUUAGGUGUCUGACUCUUGAUUUUGGCUUACAGUUCAUGGGAUCGAGCCCUGCAUCAGGCUCUGGGCUGACAGCAGGGAGCCUGCUUGGGAUUCUCUCUCCUCGGCUCCCUCUGCCCCUCCCCCACUCGUGCUCCCUCUCUCUCAAAAUAAACACUUUUAAAAGAUUUUUUUAAAAAUUACUGUAGCUUUGUAAUAAAUCUUGAUACCUCUUAGUGUAAGUCCUCCAGUUCUGUGUUUCUAGAUCAGAGGUUGGCAAACUUUUUCUGUGAAUGGCCAGAUGGUAAGUAUUUUUAGGCUUUGCAGGCCAUGUUUGGUCUCUAUCACUUAUUUUUCUUUCUUCCUUUUGUUUUUCACAUUUAAAAAUGUAAAAAAGAUCACUCUUAACUGGAUUUGGCCCUGGGGCCAUGGUCUACUGACCCCUGAUCUAGAUUGUCUUGAUUAUUCUUGGCCCUCUCUGUUUCCCAUGUAAUGCUUAGAAUCAGCUUGUCAGUUUUCAGAAACCUGCUGGAAUUUUGAUGAGCGUUGCAUGGAAUCUGUUGACCAUUUUGUGGAAGAAUUGACAUCUUUGUAAUAUCUAGGCUCCUGAUUGGUCAUACAUACUUUUUGAUUGGUUUUCGGAUUAUAAUUGUGGACCUCUUCUAUUCUGUAGCUGUCUUAUUUGGAUUAGCAAGGGACUGUAAACAAUACAAUUUUACUCUGUGCUUCCAUUUGCCAUGGUUGUUCCUAUUUAUAGCAAUUACUUUUUGGAGGGAGAGUUUUGACUUUAGGGUUUUAGUUAUACAUAUUAGAAAAUACUUAGAAAAAUCAUCUCGCAUGAAAACUAAAAGGGCAGGAAUUUGACUCCAGAAUUUAAUAUUUUGUAAUUCCCAUGGUCAGCUGAUUUGAGUAUGUUUAUGUAAAUAUUGUGAUAAGACAUUUGUAUUUCUGCGCAUGCCUCUUAAGUUUUUAUACCCACUUGGGGUCUAUUUUUUAUGUUAAAUCGUGAAAUUUUUAUACAUACCUCUAAUGUUUUCAUACCUAGCUUUAGGGUUUUUGUUUUUUAGAAGUUUAUGAAAUACCUAACUGUAUACAAAUUUUCUAAAUAUUUAAACACCAAAUAUUUGUUUUACUUUUCAUCUAACCAAUGGGCAACACAUGUGUUUUUCUGUGAUUGUAUUUAGUGACUAUAUGCUAUGUUUGUACUUUAUUUCAAAUGUUUUUAUAUGUUAAAAAGGUCAUAGCAUUUCAUUGUAUUAAUGUAAACAUGGCUAAUUUUUGUGCAUAUUUUAAAAUUGAGUAUCUCUUAAUAUAUUUAUUCCAAAGGCUUUGAAAUUCUUUUAUGAAUACAAAAGGUUUUGAUAGUCUAACAUUUUGUUACAUCCUUGAACUUUGAAAAUUUGAAAGUGCAGUAUUGAUAAAUAAUUGCCAUUUAUAUGUAGUGUCGAAAGUAUAUUUCAGUUGGUUUUUUUCUGACCCCCAAAAUAAAAAUAAAAUGAUGACCCUUGGCUGUUGAUCAGCAAUUUAAUCUGAAAGCAAAGUACCCUAUCCUGUCAUGGAAAUUGCAUAUUAUAUGUGCAGGCAUGAGGCUUGCAGUAGUGAGUUAAUUACCUUUUACAACCAUGUCACCAUGUUCUCUUUUCCUUAUCUGUACGUCGUUUAGUGCCUCUUGCUUCCUUUAUCUUUCCCUCUGGCCAUUCUUUAUAUGUGCUCUUCUCUUUGUUCAGAGUUCCUUUCCUGCCAGUUUUUGCUUUACUAAUUCCUAGUGCAGGGAGCACUUCAGUAAUUAUGUGUUGAAAUCCUUUGGUGUGUCAGACAAAGGGGAUACCUCUGUAAACAAGGCCAGGCAUCAUGUUCCAUUUUAUCAAGUUAUGUUCUAAGUUUUAAGUAAAUCAAAUUGUUGGUUUACCUGUCUCACUCUUCCCUUGGACUAUGAACUCCUUGAGUUAAGUAUCCAUUUAUUUCCAGCACUAACAUAGUACCUGACAGAUGUUCAGUAACUGUUACUUAUGCUGGAAUGUCGCAGUUAUGGAUGAAAUUCUCAAGGCAUUCACAAAUUGGUUAGGAAGGCAGUUUGUUUAUAUUCAAAAUUUGAUUAUAAUAUUAGGUAACGAGUUGACAAGGGUUCUUACUGACUCUACCUUGUGGAGAAUAGUCUCCUCUUAGCACUUCCAUGAACUGAUCAUUGCUGAAUUGAAUCCAGAGCAGAUGGUUUUACACAACUUUAAUGAUCUAAGGUGUUUUUCCAGGCACUUUGAAUUAAUAAAUGGCACUUCAAGAAAUGGAACGAAACCCUCACAAGCCCUGAAACAGUAUCAUAUAUAGCUAAAUAAGUAAAUAAGUGGUCUCCCUCUUUAGUAUUGUGGUGUGUCCUCUGAUAAGUCUCUAGUCAGCUCCUGUCCCUGUGCCCAACAGUAGCUGUGCCAAGCCUUCACUGCUGUGCAGAGACCAUCUGGACUCUUGUCUCCACAAACAUUUUUCUUUUGCUUUGUAUCUUUAAUUUAGAUUCCUGCCUCCCAGAGGAAAUCAAGACUUUCAGGCCCAGUGAAACUCACUUCCCACCCUUGUGUUUACCUUACCUUAUUAUUCUCAUCUUUCUUCUUCUAGUCUCAGAAGAAGCUCUUCUUUCUCCCAGUUAGGGCUAAUCUCUCUGUGUCACUUAAAUUCAUUUUACAUUUUUAUCAAAGUGGUACAUACAUAGUUUUCAGAAAUCAAGAAAAACAGGCAGCCACUGCCCCAAGCCACCCUAGAUGUGUUUUCUAAUGACAUCUUUUCAUUCUUUAGCUGUUUCUUUUGGUAGUUACCUUCCUAUCACUAAAAAAUAUGCUGCUGCUUUCUUGAACUUCCACAUUUUAAACGUUAUAUAUUUACUCCCAGUUCUAACAGAUUUGCUUCUUCCACUACUCUAACCCCGUAUGUCUAAUACAUGUCACUGUUUUUAGAUAAGCAAACAAUGUCCACUGUAGAGAUAAGCAGUGUGUUAUAAUUAUAUUUCCUUUAGUGUAAUGGCUUUUCUAGAAUUUCCAAUUGUCUUCUUGAAAAAUCUUUAAAAUAAUUCUCCAACCCUACUCCCAAAAGCACCAUCUCUUUUUCUCUUGAGGUGAUCUCUCUCCCAUAUUUAUGCAUCUUCUUGCUUUUCACCUGGCUGGGUUGGCUGCUUGGUUGCUUUCAAGAUCUGCCAUAUGGCUGUUACUCCAGCAUUUCCCUUGAUUACCCUCCUGGAUUGGAUUCACUGUUUACUGAAUGUCAUGGCUUCCUGUUUGUGGUUUAGUGCUUCUUUUUGCCAGAGUGCAUGCUCAGGUAACUUAGUAAGAAAUUGUGGUUUGGAGGCAAAUUGUCUGAGUCUUGCGCCCCUGAAAUGUUUUUAUUCUAACCUCACACUUGAUUAUAAUUUGGGUAUAGAAUUUAAAGUCAAGCAUUUAAAAUGUUUUAAUUUAUUUAAACUAAAAACAAAAUUAGUUCACCCAUUUCUCCUAUGCCCACCCCUGCCUCUGGUAACCACCAAUCUGUUCUUUGUAUCUAUGAGUUUGGCUUUUAUCUGUCUGUCUGUCUAUCUAUCUAUCUAUUUUUAGAUUCCAUGUAUAAGAGAAAUCAGUAUUUGUCUGACUUAUUUCACUUAGCAUAGUACCCUUGAGGUUUAUCCAUAUUGUCAUAAGUGGCAAGAUUUCAUUCUUUUUUGUGGCUGAAUAAUAUUCGUGUGUUUGUGUGUCUGUGUUACACAUACAUACAUAUGUAUACACACACCACAGUUUUUUUAUCCAUUCUUCCACUGAUGGACCCUUAGGUUGUUUCCAUAUUUUGGCUAUUGUAACUCAUGUGCAGUGAACAUGGGAUGCAUAUAUCUCUUCAAGUUAGUUUUCUUGUUUUCUUCAGAUAAAUAUCCAGAAGCGUAAUUGAUGGAUCAUCUGAGGGUUCUACUUUUACUUUUCUGAGGAGCCUUCAUACUGCUUUCCGUGUGGCUGCACCUGUUUACAUUCCCCUCAACAAUAUACAAGGUUUCUUUUUUCCAUAUCCUUGCCAACACUAUUAUUUCUAACCUUUUUGAAAACAGCCAUUCUCACAGGUGUGGGGUGAUAUUGUGGUUCUGAUUUGUAUUUCUUGGCUGAUGAGCGAUGAUGAGUAUCUUUUCAUGUGUCUCUUGACCAUUUGUACAUUGUCUUUGGGAAAAUGUCUAUUCAGGUCCUCUGCCCAUUUUAAAAUCAGAUUAUUUGUAUUUUUGCUAGAGUUAUAGGAGUUCUUUAUAUAUUUUGAUCAGUAGCCCCUUAUCAGUUACAAGAUUUGCAAGUGUUUUCUCCCAUUCAGUAGGUUGCCUUUUCGUUUCGUUUUGUUGAUGGUUUUCUUUGCUGUGCAGAAGCUUUAUAGUUUGAUGUCAUCCCACCUGUUUAUUUUUGCUUUUAUUCUCCUUGCUUUUGAUAUCAGAUUCAAAAAACCAUUGCCAGGGCCUGUAUCAAGGAGCUUACACCUAUGGUGUUUUUCUAGGUUUUGUCCUAGGAGUUUCAUGGUUUCAGGCCUUACUUUCAAGUCUUUAGUCCAUUUUGAGUUAAUUUUUGUGUACAGUGUGAGAUAACACUGUAGUUGCAUUCUUUUCUACAUGACUCUUCACUUUUCCGAGUAUCAUUUAUUGAAAAAACUGUCCUUUCUCCAUUUUAUAUUCUCGGCUCCUUUUCAUAAAUUAAUUGACCAUAUACACAUGGGUUUAUUUGGGGGCGCUCUGUUCUGUUCCAUUGAUCUAUGUGUCUGUCUGUAUGCCAGUACCAUACUGUUUAAUACCAUUUAUGUACUAUAUAGUAAAGUUGGACAUAAUUAUUCCUCAAAAGUUUAGGAUCACCAUUCUAUUUUCUUCUGCCAGUCAAUAUAGGUGCUAUACUGUUCUGAUUCUCUUCCUUUUUAGAUGAUGUCUCCCUAUUGCUAGAAACUUUAUUCCCCCCUGGUAUUCUAAAAUUUCACAGUGGUUUUUUUGUUUGUUUAGUUUUAAUAGUUAUAGUGAUUAUUUACUAAGCUAGACCUUUUCUGUCUGAAAAUUAGAGUCUUUUAACUCUUAAAUCUUUCUAUUUCUUCAUUAAUUUUAUUUUUCUUGUUUUCUGUUUUUCUGGAACUCCUCAUUAGUAGGUUUUUGGACCUGCAGGAUUGAUUAUAUUUGUCUCUUUUUCAUUUGAUUGUACUUUCUGAGAUACUUCUAAUCUUUUUAUUGCAUUUUAUUUGGAGAAUUUUUAAAUUUUUGUGCAGUUUUCUUGGUUCUGAUCAAGUUUUAUUCUUGAUUUAUGUUUACAGUAUCUCAUUAUGAAUCUUUCUGAGGAUAUCAUUUGAGGGUUUUUUAAAAGUUAUCUUCUGUCUUUUGCAUUAUCUCUGUUUUUUCUCCAGAUUUAUGACCCGUUUACCUUUGGUCUCUUCCUUCCAUUUUGGAGACAUUCCUCAAGUUUCUAGUGAUCCUUGGUUGUCCAUUUAUAUUUAAGAGCGGGGGACACUGACAAGCUAAUUGGAAGCUCUGUGUGCAUAUGAGGCGCUCAUCAACUGUUGGUGCGCCCAGUCAACAGAUUCAGGCCUUGCUUAUGUGGUAGGGCAGAGAACUGCCAAUGUUAGAGGACCCUCGGAUUCAAGAAUAUAGGGGCAUUCAUCCCAGAGAAAGUCUAGUUGAUGGUUCUGAAUAUAGAUUUUAAUUUACACAUUUUUAGCCCCAAGUCUUACCCCUGUCCUUCCCCAGCACCUCUGGUAUCUGAGAAUUCUGACUCUCCCUGGGUUUCUGUGGGCAGACCAGCCCCGUUUUGAUUGUAUGUCCUUCUACCAGCAUUCUAAACUCCAGCUUCUUCUUGCAUAUGUUACCACUCAUGUUUGCCCUUUGUCUUCCAGAAUUUAAAAACCAUUUGCUGGCGGUCCCCUUUCUGUUUAUAGUCAAUUUAUGUGUAUUGACAUUCCUUGUGAUGACUCUGUGUGGUGUCAACUUGGCUAGGCUAUAGUACCUUUCAUAGAGUUCCCUUAUGUGUUUCUGAUUAGGGUGGGUCACAAAGAGAUUUUUUCAUCUGAUGUGAAAUAUUUAUCCCUGAACAACUAAAAAAAAAAAGAUUCUUACCUGUUUCCCAGAAAAGGAUAUAUAGUCCCUUUCAUCUUUUUGUCUUUGGGAAAAUCUUCAUUCUUCUCCUAGCUGGUUCACAUUCUCUCUUUGAUACUCUGUAAUUGAAAUUUUGAGAUAUAGGGGCACCUGGGUGGCUCAGUUGCUUAAGCAUCCACCUUUGGCUCAAGUCAUGAUCUUGCAGUUUGUGAGUUCGAGCCCCUCAUCAGGCUCUGUACUGACAACUUGGAGCCUGGAGCCUGCUUCACACUGUGUCUCCCUCUCUCUCUCUCUCUGCCCCUCCCCUGUUUGUGCGCUGCACCUCUCUCUCUCUCUCUCUCUCUCUCUCUCUGUCUCAAAAAUAAACAUUAAAAAAAAUUAAAUUCUGAGAUAUAAAAUUAACUAUUAUUAAUACAUCUAAUGUUAGAGGAUGACAAAGAACGAUCAACCAAGGACAUUUAACUAAUACAUGUGUAUGUAUUUAAACAUAUAGUAUCAAAUUAAGGAAGAAAUACUCGUAACUAUUACAGUCCUGCUUUCUGCAACUGGUCAUGUAACCAUAGUUGGUAUUUAUAACUGUAUUCUUCCACUACACAUUUCAUAGUCCCUUUGUUCUCAGCAUGCAUUUCAGUUGGUCCUCGUUUUUUGCCUAGUGGAGUGACCCAAACCUUCAUUCUUGAAAGGUCUGGGCUCUUGGCAGUCCUGCCUGGAUUGAGUGAUUGUAGUUUUCUGUUGACUUUGAUCACAGGACAUGCAAGCGCUAAGAGGUGUUCUAGAGGCUCUCCAUUCCAGACAUUUUCCUCCGUACCCUCAUUGUGUCCUAGUGACCCAAUAUCCCCUUGCAACUCAGGACCAAUCACUACCAGCCAAUGUAGUUACUUCUUUCUUGGCCUGUUUAUUCAGAACCCAAGUAGCCAGGUGGCAGUCUCAAGUUGAAUUUAAUGGAGUUACUGUGGUGUUUCCUGAUGGAAGCAUUCUUCCUUUGAAACUAAGACUUCCAGACCAGCAAAAAGCCUAAUGUCAACAGGGAUAGGAAAUAAAUAUUCUCCUGAAACUGAAUUUAGCAUUCUUCAUUGAUUUCCCAAACAAAUGAAAGAAAAACUCUCUGUUUCUCAUUAAAAUCAUGAAAGGCAUCAUCAUCCAUUUAGUCGCCUAAGCCAGGAAACUUGGAAUUGUCCUAAAUUUUUCCCUUUCUAUUAUCAUUUUAAUUUCACUUGUUAGAAAGUCCUAUCCAUUUUACCUUUCUUCACAUCUUUCACUUUUACCUCCUUCUCUACAUCCUCAUAUCAGUCACUGCCUUAGAACAGGCUUCACUUUAACUUACUCAAAUUGUA